UCCGGGCGGACGCCGAGUCCUGCCGCCGCCCGGAUGCCCGGUCGACAGGAGUGGAUCGGCAGGAGUGGAGGACCCAGCACGACGGGUCGCCGGAACGCACGUUCCGAGCAGCCCUUGGGGUGAAGCCGCGGUCACGCGGCCGGGCCACUUCGCCAGCCCGAAUCCGACAGGUCAUCCUUCACAGGCGGCUGACGAAGGGUUG
rnacentral:sRNA from 2 species